AGUGAACGCUGGCGGUAGGCCUAACACAUGCAAGUCGAACGGCAGCACAGUAAGAGCUUGCUCUUACGGGUGGCGAGUGGCGGACGGGUGAGGAAUACAUCGGAAUCUACUUUUUCGUGGGGGAUAACGUAGGGAAACUUACGCUAAUACCGCAUACGACCUACGGGUGAAAGCAGGGGAUCUUCGGACCUUGCGCGAUUGAAUGAGCCGAUGUCGGAUUAGCUAGUUGGCGGGGUAAAGGCCCACCAAGGCGACGAUCCGUAGCUGGUCUGAGAGGAUGAUCAGCCACACUGGAACUGAGACACGGUCCAGACUCCUACGGGAGGCAGCAGUGGGGAAUAUUGGGCACUGGGCGCAAGCCUGAUCCAGCCAUACCGCGUGGGUGAAGAAGGCCUUCGGGUUGUAAAGCCCUUUUGUUGGGAAAGAAAAGCAGCAGGUUAAUACCCCGCUGUUCUGACGGUACCCAAAGAAUAAGCACCGGCUAACUUCGUG
rnacentral:rRNA from 1 species